GUGGGGAAUAUUGGACAAUGGGCGAAAGCCUGAUCCAGCCAUACCGCGUGUGUGAAGAAGGUCUUCGGAUUGUAAAGCACUUUAAGUUGGGAGGAAGGGCAGUAAGUUAAUACCUUGCUGUUUUGACGUUACCGACAGAAUAAGCACCGGCUAACUUCGUGCCAGCAGCCGCGGUAAUACGAAGGGUGCAAGCGUUAAUCGGAAUUACUGGGCGUAAAGCGCGCGUAGGUGGUUUUGUAAGUUGUAGGUGAAAUCCCCGGGCUCAACCUGGGAACUGCCUCCACAACUGCAUGACUAGAGUACGGUAGAGGGUAGUGGAAUUUCCUGUGUAGCGGUGAAAUGCGUAUAUAUAGGAAGGAACACCAGUGGCGAAGGCGACUACCUGGACUGAUACUGACACUGAGGUGCGAAAGCGUGGGGAGCAAACAGGAUUAGAUACCCUUGUAGUCC
rnacentral:rRNA from 1 species